rfam:Magnaporthe oryzae 70-15 chromosome 3, whole genome shotgun sequence.
GGCAAGAUGGCCGAGUUGGUCUAAGGCGCUAGCUUCAGGUGACAAUCCCCGGGUUGCAACAUGAUCUGCUAGUCUCGCAAGAGGCGUGGGUUCGAAUCCCACUCUUGUCA